CUAUCAAUGCCUCUGCUCGCUCGGAAAAACCUUUUUCUCUCUUUCUAUUCCCGACUCUGUGUCGCGAAAUAUAUCGCAGAUUACCUAAUCAUUCUCGCCGCUUUUUAAAUAGCCGUAUAUAGACCAAGUCCUCCUUAAAAGUAGUCGUUAUGUUUGAGGAUAUUUACAGAUUUUUUUAUCUUUCAAUUACACUUAAGGCAACAGAAUUUCCGAUUUCUUUAUUUUUUCCGAUCAGAUUCGUGUUUUUUGGGAGGGGGAGAUUAGUUGGCCUAUCAAAGCUAUAAUCAACUGUAUUGGGGAAAAAAGGCCUCUUCAGCUGAGACCAUCUCUUUCAAAAGGCGUGUGUUUUCCACUCAACAAUGCAGUCUGUUCUAUUUUGAAGAUAUCCAGUUUGACUUUCUUUUCUCUCUCACUCACUCUUUUUUUUAUUCCUACGAGCGAUCACUAAAUGCAUUCAGUGACCUGCAGGUUUAGCCUGGACCACGCUUAAAGUUUCCGGCAGUAACUUUGGAAUGAUAGUGUCUGCUUAAGGUCAGUCAAAUGAGGCAAUGUGUUGUUGUCUUUCUGGUCAACGUUUCUCGGGGAAAAGUCUUUUCUUGAAAGUCAAGAUACGGUAGCCAAGUAGUUCGAGGCAGAAGACGCAGGCUGUCGCCGUCUUCCCUAAAAUGCAUGUCUGCUCUGUGCAGCGCUGCUCAGACUCUCAGGCUGUCCGUGUACAAGGUCCUGCUGAUCCGCUCCUGUCACGAAGGAGACCCUGGGCUCCGUUUUCCCUCAACAAACCACAUUCACAUUGCACACACCGCGCCCGCAAACACAAACCCGCUCAUGCACGCACACACACACACGUCGAUCGAUUUGCAUGUGACUCCGUCAGUGAAUGAGCGAGUAUCGACUUAAAAACAACGCUUGAAAGAGGCAAACCGCUAUGAAAAAUAAAAAAGAAAAGAUGGACAAAGUGGGGUAAAGGGGGGAAAGUGUAGCUAGAGGAACUAAGGCAGGGCGGAGGGAUUGCCCAUUUCAGACAGAGACGUGUCGGAGAAGAACAAAAAUGUCUUUAUCCAGAAGAGGAUUUUAUAAGCACGCGACGUUGGUGAAACCCCGUGGAUGUGGCAAGUGUGAAAUCUGUCAAAAUUUAGAAAGAGAGAGAUGUUCCCAUCUGCCGGACACACACGGACCCCACUAGCUGGACUUGGAGCUCCUUUUCUGGGCAGCGCUCAUGUGGAGCUGCCGCUGCCCUUCGUCCGCCGCUCAGCACAGCCCUCUCUCAUUGCGUUUGUGCCUCAAAACACGUUUCUCGACAACCACAAACCCUCCACACCUUUCCCCGAUCCCACCGAAAAGCACACAUUUGUUUUAAAACCGUGCUUUUUUUUUUAUCCCCCCCCUCUCUCCACGAUCAACUGCUUGGAGUGGAUCGCUGUCUUGCCUAUUUCUUAUCUUCCAUUCAUGAGGAGGAGAGGACGGACGCUGAUGUAAACACAGUUGAGCCUGCGCUGUGUACCGCUGCAGAACCCACGAGAGAGGCUGGUGUCCGGCUCCGUGUGUCUAGGGUGGAUAGGGCAGCACAGCCAGGUGCAAUGGGAGCGCCCUCUUAUGUUCAGCCUGACCACUGGGAUCAAGUAGCGCAUCAGCUCUUUCAUGGAAGCCAAGCGCCUGCGGACCCAGGUCUUUGCAAAAGCGCACCUUUGCCUUUGAGUCUGUGGUUGCAUCUUAAAAACGGACUCGAAUGUAAACGAGGCACGCAAACACGUUCAGGUUAUCGCGUGGACAAAAUAGACGAGGGAUUUCAACGUCGGAAAUCACAGACAUUUCAGUCAAACGUGUUUUUUGUUUUGUUUUUGUUUUUUUAACCGACCAUUAAGGACACGAGAUGCACUCCGAAAAUUAUCCUAGUUUUGAAAUAGCCUCUGACUGACCGAGAGCGAAAAAGAACAACAUGCCCAGCUCGGAUCAAACCGAAAUUUUGGCCUAAUUAGCGGGGCGUCCUGCAGAAAUCUGCUGAUACAUAACUUCAGAAAAUAAAAAAUAAAUAAUCAAAAGUGCAGCUAUUCCACUUCUAAAUUAACUUUUCACAAUCGUUUUGGAUUGGGGGGUAUAAAUGUAACAUGCUUUGCACUCUACGCAUGAUUUCCCACCAUCAUCCUUGAAGGAUGUGUGCCACGUACCCUGUGGACAGGGGAAAAACAUCUUUUUGCAAACCUUUACUUAUAACUAUUUUAUUUCCUCGGCGUUAUUCUCUAAACCAGCAAUUUAAAAAAAGUAAACCUACACACGCCUGUGGCCUCUAGCUUUCUAGCCCCCACCCUCCCCCCUUUUUUCCCCUCCAUUUUUGGCACCCCCAGAAUGUUCCUGACUGGAUGCAGCUGAUCACUGUGGUGGAUCUUUUGUUUAUCAAAAUCAAAUGCAACGUUUGGACUCGUCUUUGGUGCUCUUUCACUUACACUCUUGCCUAUCACAUAUCACAUAGUGUGUUGGAUCAUUUUAUUCAUAUUUCACAUGCUUUCUAGAUUUAUUAGAGUAUUUUCAUGGAUCUAUUUGUUUGCUUGUGUAUUUUUUCUGUAAUAUCUUAUAAGGGGAUAUUCUACCUGCUGUUGUAUUUGCUUGUUUAUUUCAUGUGAUUUUAUUUUUUAAUUCAUUUUUUUAUUUUUUUAAAUAUUGCUCUUUUAUUUUAGGUUGUUAAUCCAGUGCUUCUGAAAUAAAAUAUUGAUAUUAAAAAAAUCCCUUGGACAAA